rnacentral:rRNA from 1 species
UACGUAGGGGGCAAGCGUUAUCCGGAUUUACUGGGUGUAAAGGGAGCGUAGACGGAAUUGCAAGUCUGAUGUGAAAAUCCGGGGCCCAACCCCGGAACUGCAUUGGAAACUGUAUUUCUAGAGUGUCGGAGAGGCAAGUGGAAUUCCUGGUGUAGCGGUAAAAUGCGUAGAUAUCAGGAGGAACACCAGUGGCGAAGGCGGCUUGCUGGACGAUGACUGACGUUGAGGCCCGAAAGCGUGGGGAGCAAACAGG